rnacentral:lncRNA from 1 species
UCUAACAAAAUCCAAAGGGAGAGGGGAGAAAAUUCUGAAACCGCUAGGAAUUUGAUCAAAAUUGUUACUGUUUCAUUGAGUGUGUCCUUGUGAUGUCUUGGAUUUCCAGCUUUUGAAAUGAAAGGCUGAUUGAUCCGAGGGCUGAAAUGGUUUGAUUUUGAGAGAUUAAUAGCUAAAAACCUGUAACACUGAAAAAACUAUUUUUUUAUUCUUUUUAAAAUUUCUGGAUCCACUUCGAAUUCCUAGUAGAUUUCCAGAAAACUAUUGAUUUCUGCGUAGUUUUGGAUUCCUUCUGAUCUUAGUGGUUUAGUUCAAGUCAUGGAAACUGAAACUUUGGUAUUCUAGUUUGGAAUGGGAUUUGAAAGCUGUUUUUUGGGGUUACUGAAAGAUCUCUACUGUUUCAUCGAGUUUAUGCAUUUCUUCUCGAAUUUCUUAAAUGUGUGAAGUAAUUCUAAUUUUUGUUGGAUUUUGAAAUGGUCUGAAAGCUGGGUUUGCCGCGAUUUAGCUGCUGAAUUCCAUUGUCCUUUACUGCUGUUACUCACUGACCUUUCCUUGCCCUGUUUCUUUCCUCACAUCCAGGUACACGACUAUGUAACUCAUUGAUUGUGGAAUGAAUUUGAAGAGUGAAAUGAAAUGGGGCAUUGAAACAUGGAAACUGCUUUGGCUUGUUGAUUUUACAAUGUUAUUCUGAUUUGUUUUUAAUCGAAUAAUUACUACCAUGUUUAGUCUGUAGCUUCGUACUUGUUUGGUUUCAUUUAUAAACAACAUAGGGUUAAUAUCCAUCUUGUGUGUGCUUCACUUCAUGGCAAAAUUAAGAGAUAAGGGCUUGGAG